rnacentral:rRNA from 1 species
GACGAACGCUGGCGGCGUGCUUAACACAUGCAAGUCGAACGUGAUUUUUGUGGAAAUUCUUUCGGGAAUGGAAAUGAAAUGAAAGUGGCGAACGGGUGAGUAGCACGUGAGCAACCUACCUUACACAGGGGGAUAGCCGUUGGAAACGACGAUUAAUACCGCAUGAGACCACAGAAUCGCAUGAUAUAGGGGUCAAAGAUUUAUCGGUGUAAGAAGGGCUCGCGUCUGAUUAGCUAGUUGGAAGGGUAAAGGCCUACCAAGGCGACGAUCAGUAGCCGGUCUGAGAGGAUGAACGGCCACAUUGGAACUGAGACACGGUCCAAACUCCUACGGGAGGCAGCAGUGGGGAAUAUUGCACAAUGGGGGGAAUCCUGAUGCAGCGACGCCGCGUGAGCGAAGAAGGUUUUCGAAUCGUAAAGCUCUGUCCUAUGAGAAGAUAAUGACGGUAUCAUAGGAGGAAGCCCCGGCUAAAUACGUGCCAGCAGCCGCGGUAAUACGUAUGGGGCGAGCGUUGUCCGGAAUUAUUGGGCGUAAAGGGUACGUAGGCGGUUUUUUAAGUCAGGUGUGAAAGCGUGAGGCUUAACCUCAUUAAGCACUUGAAACUGGAAGACUUGAGUGAAGGAGAGGAAAGUGGAAUUCCUAGUGUAGCGGUGAAAUGCGUAGAUAUUAGGAGGAAUACCGGUGGCGAAGGCGACUUUCUGGACUUUUACUGACGCUCAGGUACGAAAGCGUGGGGAGCAAACAGG